rnacentral:lncRNA from 1 species
GGCAAAGCUCACCCAGGAUUUUCUAGUAGGCAUGGUAGCAUGGCUUGGGGCAUCUAGCUCACCCAGAGCUUUCUAGCAAAUGUGGCGGCUUGGCUUGGGAUGCAUAGCUCAUCUAGGGUUUUCUUGGUUCAGUCCUUUGAUCUCAUCUAGGUGGAAGAUGGCUUGUCAUAUGUUCUAUUCCUCUGAUCAGUCGAGUUGAGGCUUC